CCUCCCGCCCCCUUCCUCCUCCUCCUCAUCCUCCUCCUCCUCUUUUCCGCAUCCCUCCUCCUCCUCAUCCUCCUCCACCACCACCUCCUCCUCCACCUCCUCCUUCUUCGCCUCCACAGCCGCCGGCCCGGACUGCAUGGCGUGGGGCCCCCCCGAGGCGGCACACACCUAGCUCCUCCUCCGCAUGCUGCCCCCAAAAGGCCGGUGUUUUGCCCCGCCGCCUCCCUCCCCCUCCCUCUCAGGAGCGUGGAAAUGGGAGGAGAGAUCGAAGAGGACGACGACGACGAGGAGGCGCAAAAAAAAAUUGUAUUUUUACGUAUUUAUCGAGGGAAGAGAAGAAGCCGAAGGAAGACGGUGAAAGGAC
rnacentral:lncRNA from 1 species